UACAGAGGGUGCAAGCGUUAAUCGGAAUUAUUGGGCGUAAAGCGCACGUAGGUGGUUAUGUAAGUCAGAUGUGAAAUCCCUGGGCUCAACCUGGGAACUGCAUUUGAAACUGUGUAACUAGAGUAUGGGAGAGGGAAGUGGAAUUUCUGGUGUAGCGGUGAAAUGCGUAGAUAUCAGAAGGAACACCAGUGGCGAAGGCGACUUCCUGGCCUAAUACUGACACUGAGGAGCGAAAGCGUGGGUAGCGAACAGG
rnacentral:rRNA from 1 species